UUCCCUAAUCUAUGUCUUUGUCCACCUUCUCACCCUUUGUUCUCUGCAGACAAAAGCUGUUUGAAGUUUGGUUCUUAUUUCCCUCUGGACAUCUUUGUCAGAGAACACAACUUGGUGGAAGAGCCUCUUCCUAGCCAGGGUCCAAGGAAAUUCUGAACACUCAACUGCAAUCAAUUAGACCUAAAAGAAAUGGAAUCUUUCAAGUUUUCAGUUUGAUUUUCAGGGAAAAAGUGGUAUUACCUCGUGGUCAGGAUCAUCUAACAAGCAGCCGUGUACAGUAUUUGAUAACUGGAAGCCUCCUUAUUCCUAAUUUAAAAGGAACUGAGUUUAACCUUUGAUAUUUCUCUGGAGAGCCCAGAAGAAAAAUCCCAAUAUAACAAUAAAUUUGUCU